rnacentral:rRNA from 1 species
CCUACGGGAGGCAGCAGUAGGGAAUAUUGGGCAAUGGAGGCAACUCUGACCCAGCCAUGCCGCGUGAACGAAGAAGGCGCUAUGCGUCGUAAAGUUCUUUUAGAGGGGGCGAAAACACUUGAUUCAUCAAGUACUGACGGUACCUUCGGAAUAAGCACCGGCUAACUCUGUGCCAGCAGCCGCGGUAAUACAGAGGGUGCAAGCGUUAUCCGGAAUCACUGGGUUUAAAGGGUGCGUAGGCGGGAUUAUAAGUCAGAGGUGAAAUCUCGUCGCUUAACGACGGAAUUGCCUUUGAUACUGUUUUCUUGAAAUUUGUUGAGGUUGGCGGAAUGAGACAUGUAGCGGUGAAAUGCUUAGAUAUGUCUUAGAACACCGAUUGCGAAGGCAGCUGACUGGACAAUAUUUGACGCUGAGGCACGAAAGCGUGGGGAUCAAACAGGAUUAGAUACCCUGGUAGUCCACGCCCUAAACGAUGUUUACUUGCUGUUGUUCUUCGGUAGUGUAGUGGCGAGACGAAGACGAUAAGUAACCAACCGUACGGGUAGGUACGGCCCGCCGAACGGGUAGGAACGUACGAAGGAAGUUAGACGGACGUGAGACGUGCCGACGGACGACGACGAGGGAGGAGG